AGGAGUUUCCAAAAUUCCUCUCGGUUAACUCGUUGCAAGUAGAAACCAUUUCUCACGCAGGCUACAGGGGCGUUUUCCGUGCAGCGGCUCUGAACGCGGGGCCGCGCGGUUCUGGGCCACCCCGUCGCGCCGAACAGUGAUGAGCAUCGUGCUCCUGGCUGCAUCUUGGACACAAGAAACAGAGCUGUCAUCCAGAAGUGCCAUGCUCAGGUCAACAGGAAGGAGGACCAAGACCUGAGAUUUUACUCAGCAGUCUCUGAGUACACAAAGAAGAAAUAAGAGACAGAUGUCUGAUAGGGAAUGAUAGGUAUUUCAAGAUGGGACAUCCUCACCUUGAUUGUGUGGUUAGGAAGUCAAACUUAUCUCCUUUGCUGGACCAAGCCCUCAUUUCUGUGACGGUGUCUUGUACUGUUCCAAAUGAGAGGCUAUUUGAUGGGCCUCCUGCCUGGAGUCUAGUUACUGAUUUUUAGCACUAAUGGAGCCCUGUCAGGUGUGCUGGAAGUAUUUGGUGUGCAUCAGGUCUGUCAAUUCCUAAUUACAGCCAAAAAGAAGCAGGUACAGAUCUAUUAAUAGAGAGGGGAAUAAAAUAGAGCUCAGUAGUGGCUGAAAAUUGGUCUCUUACAAGUUAUUGCAAAUAGCUGGAAAUACUAUGCACAAUACAACAAGCACACUGAGACUCGCAGUUCAUGUGCACUGAAGAAUAUAGGGUUCAGACAAAGCAACCUGAAGCAGCUAGCUUAUAAAACGGGUGACUCGCUAUGGAAAGCACUCUGAGGAUGGAAAUGUACAGUGGUCACUGAUGAAAAAUUUAUAUUUGCUCCCAGCUAGUAUGCAGAUAUACUCACAGACCCUUAGUUGCUUUGCAGAGAGAUGGGAAGCAGCAGUUCUGUUAGCAACUGUCACUGUUGUAAUAACUACCAUUGAUUAUACUACUACUACAUUGCAUGACAUUUAUUAAAACAAUUAUAAUAUUAAGACAGAGGCCUUAACUACAUUUCUAGCUGUAACCUGUAAGCAUCUUGCUUUAUAACAUUCACCCUACCAAAGGUCAUUGUUCUGACCCGAGAUGUAUUGAGUUCCUCCAUCAAGUGGUAAGGAAUGUUACAGUGUUGGCUCUGGAUGUUGAUGGAUAUAAUUCAGUUGUUUUGGAAAUGUAUGACUCCCUAAAUAUGUUUAACUCGCUAUCUGACAUGUCACCCUUAUUGCGUGGAAAAUUUAUCAUUUCCACGUUUUUUAUAAAUAGAAUGAAGGUGUUAAUAGUCGUUAAGUUUACAGCAUAAAAGCCCAACCAUUCAGUUUCUUUUAGCCAGCCCCCCUGAAACAGUAGGCUCCAAUAGCCCUUUGUCCAUAGCUUCUAAAGAAAUAAUAGUCCUAAAUUUUAAUUUCUUUUACCACUGCAAGUGUUAUCUUAGCUGUUGAGUAAGACCCAGUCUCCCUGCAGGAAGCUGUUACUAAUUCUAAUUUGGAGAAGUCUUCAGUUUCAACAGUGAUUAUUACCAUUAUCAUCCAGUGUCUACUCACUCUCUGUCUUAGCAGGGGAGAAUAAUGGUACUGAUGGGAAUAAGAGCUCCCUUCUCUUCUUAUUGAGCAUAAAUAUCCUUCUUUUUUGUUUGUUUGUAUCAAACUUUUCAAAGCAUCACAGCAUAGAAAUGCCAGUGUACAGCUACUUUUGUAAUUAACUGAUGUUCAUUAUUUCUGCCAUCUAGAUCAGUAAUACAUACAUUUCUGAAAAAAAAUCCUAAAUGGACUUGGAAUUGUGAGGCUGUUGGUAAUUAUACUCUGGUAAAGUCUGCAACAGUGACUUGCAACAUGUGCAAAUAAUGCAGGAUGGAAGCAGAACAUGGAUCCAGCAUGAAUUCUAUCACAAGACUUCAAGACGUCAAUGUCUGUUUUGCUGCUGGGACUGAAGGAUGUCACAAGCAGGGAACCCAAAGUCCACUUGCAGAUUGUUAGUCUCUGCUGAUUUUUCUCAUUUUAUAGCAGUGUAACCAUGUCAGCUCAGUGGAAUUACUCAUCCUUUAUAGAGGAAUAAAUUAAAACAAAAAUAGGCCAUUGAGGUUGACUUAAUGCUUGCAUAAACCAUAUUUGUUUUGUUUAUAAGACCUUAAAUUCUUGGUUAAAAGGUGUAAGUAUAGGUCAAUGUAAGUGAAAACAAAGAGUAUAUAUUACAGUAAAGUAGAUUCAGGAAAAUAAUUGGAAUUAUGAGUUCAUUAGUUAAAGUAACUCCAGAAAGAGUUAUAGUAGUGCAAUACAUGUCUUGCACCAGAGCAAUGUUAGAUAACAAAAUGCACACUUGUCAGAAUUCAAAGGAAGCUACAAAAGCUGACAUCCUCUGAUAUAGACCUGGAGUUUGCUUCAGUUGAACUAAGGGACAGCUGAUAAAGGCAAUUGUCUAUUUAAAAACAAAAUGAGACUGAAAAAAAAGCUCUGAUUUUUAGAUAGAUGUUUUGCUUUUCUGCUUGGAAAUUCCAUUACAACAGUGCAGUGUCUUUCUCUUCUUUAACCAGUCUGUAUCACAGUGCAAUUAACUAGGAAAAUAUUUUUCAUCAGACCUGUCCUCAGUUAUAACUACUGACCCAUGAAUGUGAAGAAAGAUAAACAAACUUCUUGGUUUUGCUGUAUUUAGACAGUUCUCUUCAUAUGAACAGAUCAGGUCUUAGAGAGGGUGUAACUCCAAUCGUAGCUUUAGAAGUAUAAUUGGUAAUAUUUUUAUCUCCUCUUACAGACUUUAUACCUCAGGAGAUGUGGAGGAAAAUGAUUCAUCUGCUAAACCCACAAUGUGUCAUUGCAGGUGACAGUAAAGGUCUUUCACCAGAAUUACCUGUAAAAACAAGUUUUUGUUAAUGAUUUGUAAUAGGCCAUCCAAGCAUAGUUCAGUGCACUGAACUCUAGCCAGAGAAUGGAAAUUAUGCCAGCACAAUGCAUGAGAUUCAGUGACAACAGCUGUGAACCUUACAGGUAAUUUAAGGCUGUUUUUUGCCUAUCAGUUGUAAAAUACGUGAAAGCUGAACUGAAAAGUGGGUCCAGCCAAUGAAUGAGAGGAAUCUUGAAUGCAAAAGUUCCUUUUCAAGUAUUUUUGAGUUGUGAUGGAAAACUGAUUACAUAUUUUAAGUAAAAAUUCUUUUUAUGCA